rnacentral:lncRNA from 1 species
AAUCAGAGCGCAACUAAAAGUUUAUAAACUUAUACAAAUACAAAACCUUAUUACAACAGAUAAGAACAAAGUACAAUCUACGUAAUCUCAGUAUACAACACUGAACUAAACUGCAUAAACUUGUAGGGGUUCGUCUAUUUAAUAUCGAGAAGGCUCUAGCUAGCCGUUGACCCCUCGCUAGGAACCCUAGUCUUUCUCGCUGUGGAAGGCUCUGCAUAAAAACAACCAAC